UACGUAGGGUGCGAGCGUUAAUCGGAAUUACUGGGCGUAAAGCGUGCGCAGGCGGUUCGACAAGUCUGAUGUGAAACUCCCGGGCUCAACCUGGGAACUGCGUUGGAAACUAGUCGGGCUAGAGUGUAGAAGAGGGGGUAGGAAUUCCGACGUGUAGCAGUGAAAUAGCGUAGAGAUGUGGAGGAAUACCGAUGGCGAAGGCAGCCCCUGGGCUAACACUGACGCUCAUGCNCGAAAGCUGGGGAGCAAACAGGAUUAGA
rnacentral:rRNA from 1 species